rnacentral:rRNA from 14 species
UAACUCAGGGAGGUAGUGACAAGAAAUAACAACGCGGGGCAAAGUCUCGUGAUUGGAAUGAGGACAAUGUAAAAGCCUUAUCGAGGAUCCACUGGAGGGCAAGUCUGGUGCCAGCAGCCGCGGUAAUACCAGCUCCAGUAGCGUAUAUUAAAGUUGUUGCAGUUAAAACGCUCGUAGUCGGAUUUCGGGUCGGUUGCGCCGGUCUGCCGAUGGGUAUGCACUGGCGGAGUCGGCCUUUCUUCCGGAGACCGCGCCUCCUCUUAGCUGAGCGGGUGCGGGAGACGGAUCGUUUACUUUGAAAAAAUCAGAGUGUUUCAAGCAGGCAGCUCGCUCUUGCAUGGAUUAGCAUGGGAUAAUGAAAUAGGACUCUGGUGCUAUUUUGUUGGUUUCGAACACCGGAGUAAUGGUCAACAGGGACAGUCAGGGGCACUCGUAUUCCGCCGAGAGAGGUGAAAUUCUCAGACCAGCGGAAGACGAACCACUGCGAAAGCAUUUGCCAGGGAUGUUUUCACUGAUCAAGAACGAAAGUUAGGGGAUCGAAGACGAUCAGAUACCGUCGUAGUCUUAACCAUAAACCAUGCCGACUAGGGAUUGGAGGCUGUUCCUUUUGUGACUCCUUCAGCACCUUUCGGGAAACUAAAGUCUUUGGGUUCCGGGGGGAGUAUGGUUGCAA